AGCGAACGCUGGCGGCAGGCCUAACACAUGCAAGUCGAACGGACCCUUCGGGGUUAGUGGCGGACGGGUGAGUAACACGUGGGAACGUGCCUUUAGGUUCGGAAUAGCUCCUGGAAACGGGUGGUAAUGCCGAAUGUGCCCUUCGGGGGAAAGAUUUAUCGCCUUUAGAGCGGCCCGCGUCUGAUUAGCUAGUUGGUGGUGUAACGGACCACCAAGGCGACGAUCAGUAGCUGGUCUGAGAGGAUGAUCAGCCACAUUGGGACUGAGACACGGCCCAAACUCCUACGGGAGGCAGCAGUGGGGAAUCUUGCGCAAUGGGCGAAAGCCUGACGCAGCCAUGCCGCGUGAAUGAUGAAGGUCUUAGGAUUGUAAAAUUCUUUCACCGGGGACGAUAAUGACGGUACCCGGAGAAGAAGCCCCGGCUAACUUCGUGCCAGCAGCCGCCGUAAUAC
rnacentral:rRNA from 1 species